rnacentral:rRNA from 1 species
CAGCAGUAGCCGCGGGAACACGAAGGGUGCAAGCGUUAAUCGGAAUUACUGGGCGUAAAGCGUGCGUAGGCGGUGAGUUAAGUCUGCUGUGAAAUCCCCGGGCUCAACCUGGGAAUGGCAGUGGAUACUGGCUCGCUAGAGUGUGUCAGAGGAUGGUGGAAUUUCCGGUGUAGCGGUGAAAUGCGUAGAGAUCGGAAGGAACAUCAGUGGCGAUGGCGGCCAUCUGGGACAACACUGACGCUGAAGCACGAAAGCGUGGGGAGCAAACAGGAUUAGAUACCCGCGUAGUCCCUGUCUCUUAUAC